GGUGGCUCAGUGGUAGAGCAUCUGCCUUGCAUGCAUGAGGCCCUGGGUUCGAUUCCCCAGCACCA
rnacentral:tRNA from 1 species